rnacentral:rRNA from 1 species
CGAGGGGCUGGCAAACCCGCGAUAGUUCGUGAGCUUCGUGAUCUCACAAGGCAACAUGCCCCCUCUAUCACAUGUAUCCUUGAAACACAAAUAGAGGGUUCUAGAGUUGAAAACACGGUUGGUUCUUUAGGAUAUAAUAAAAGCUUUGCUGUAAGCAGUUCUGGUAGAAGUGGAGGGCUAGGUAUUUUUUGGAACGAAGAAAUAAAGCUUGAGGUUGUGGGUUACUCAGAGUAUCAUAUUGAUGUUAUACUUGAUGAGAUGGUGGACAUUCAGACUAGGGUAGCUUUCGUCUACGGAGAGGCGAGAACAAAUGACGUUACAGAACAUGGGACACACUCUGUGGUAUUGCAGGAAUCAGCUCAAUGCCCUGGCUGGUGA